rnacentral:rRNA from 1 species
UACGUAGGGUCCGAGCGUUAUCCGGUAUUAUUGGGCGUAAAGAGCGUGUAGGCGGCCAGGUAGGUCUGCUGUGAAAACUCGAGGCUUAACCUCGAGCUGUCGGCGGAAACCAUCUGGCUAGAGUCCGGAAGAGGAGAAUGGAAUUCCCGGUGUAGCGAUGAAAUGCGCAGAUAUCGGGAAGAACACCCGUGGCGAAGGCGGUUCUCUGGGACGGUACUGACGCUGAGACGCGAAAGCGUGGGGAGCGAACAGG